CAGUCGCCGCGGGAAUACAGAGGGUGCGAGCGUUAAUCGGAUUUACUGGGCGUAAAGCGUGCGUAGGCGGCUUUUUAAGUCGGAUGUGAAAUCCCUGGGCUUAACUUAGGAAUUGCAUUCGAUACUGGGAAGCUAGAGUAUGGUAGAGGAUGGUAGAAUUCCAGGUGUAGCGGUGAAAUGCGUAGAGAUCUGGAGGAAUACCGAUGGCGAAGGCAGCCAUCUGGCCUAAUACUGACACUGAGGUACGAAAGCAUGGGGAGCAAACAGGAUUAGAUACCCCCGUAGUCCCUGUCUCUUAUAC
rnacentral:rRNA from 1 species